rnacentral:rRNA from 1 species
AUUGAACGCUGGCGGCAAGCCUAACACAUGCAAGUCGAACGAGUGGCGGACGGGUGAGUAAUGUCUGGGAAACUGCCUGAUGGAGGGGGAUAACUACUGGAAACGGUAGCUAAUACCGCAUACCAUCGGAUGUGCCCAGAUGGGAUUAGCUAGUAGGGGGGGUAAAGGCUCACCUAGGCGACGAUCCCUAGCUGGUCUGAGAGGAUGACCAGCCAAACUGGAACAGAGACACGGUCCAGACUCCUACGGGAGGCAGCAGUGGAGAAGAUGGCAAAAUGGGCGAAAGCCUGAUGCAUCCAUGCCGCGUGGAUGAAGAAGGCCUGCGGGUUGUAAAGUACUUUCAGCGGGGAGGCGUUACCCGCAGAAGAAGCACCGGCUAACUCCGUGCCAGCAGCCGCGGUAAUAC